rnacentral:rRNA from 1 species
GAGUAACAUGUACGUAUCUGCCCUUUGGCCUGGAAUAACACGAGGAAACUUGUGCUAAUACCGGAUAAGUCUUUACAGAGAAAGCUUUAUGCACCAUUGGAUGAGCCUGCACUUGAUUAGUUUGUUGGUGGGGUAAUGGCCUACCAAGACUGUGAUCAAUAGCUGAUUUGAGAGGAUGAUCAGCCACAUUGGGACUGAGACACGGCCCAAACUCCUACGGGAGGCAGCAGUGGGGAAUCUUGCACAAUGGAGGAAACUCUGAUGCAGCGAUGCCGCGUGAGUGAAGAAGGCCUUUGGGUUGUAAAGCUCUUUCGUCGGGGAAGAAAAUGACUGUACCCGAAUAAGAAGGUCCGGCUAACUUCGUGCCAGCAGCC